CUGAAAAUGCCUAGAUGGGUCUACACACCCCAUAAACA
rnacentral:tRNA from 1 species